AGAAGAUACGUUAAAAAAAGAAAAAAAAAUAUCAAUAAACAAUUAUUCAACAGCGAAUCGCAGAAUUUUACAAAUAUUCUAUAAUAAUUCUUAUAUAUAAAUACUGUUACACGAGCCGCGGCACGGACGAACGACACGAUCGCUCGUUUGUUGACAUUCGAAAUAUCGAUUUAAACGGAGUCGUUUUCCGGACACCGAGCGGUACGGUCGUGUUUCUGCUCUCCUCGUCGAACGAAUAUUACGUUAUAUCGCUCGAUAAAGUUAAUUCUAUUCUAUAAUGAUGCGUGUAACGAUUGUGAACGCGUCAAGAUUGUGUCCAGAUGUAGCCAGGCGCCAUCUCUCGUCCGGAAAGGGUUAAUAAGUGAGCGUCGAGAAAUCGGAGAGUUUAAUAUUAACCGCCAAUCAAGAGGAAUAUAACCGUCACGAAUCGUUCCCGACGCCCGUGUCGAAUCAUUUGCGCCGAAUCAUUUCAUAGCCACAUUGUGCCGCAACGCAGUUUUAACUAAACGCACGAUUAAAUGGCCAAUUGAAUGGAGUGGCUCCAUUCCAGGGUGUUUUCGAUCGUAGUUUUUCGAAACGAAAGCGUAAAUAGAAGAGACGCUCGAAAUUUUCCAAAUCUCUUCUUGAAAAAUCGUCUCGUCGACGAGAGAAAAUGGAUCCACGACAAUUUCAAGGAUAAUUAUUUUCGAAAUUCGCGUGUAGUUUUUUUUAAGAUUUGAAUCAUUGCGAAACAGAGAGAAGUUUGAAAUAAACUUUUGGAAAAAAUUUUUUUUGGAUGAAAUAAAAUUAAA